UGGCUCAGAACAAACGCUGGCGGCGUGCCUAAUACAUGCAAGUCGAACGGGGAAAGCUUUCGGGUGAGUACUAGUGGCGCACGGGUGAGUAACGCGUGGAUAAUCUGCCUUGGAGUGGGGGAUAACUAGUCGAAAGAUUAGCUAAUACCGCAUAAGACCACGAAAGCUGCGGCUUUUGAGGUCAAAGGUUUUUCGCUCUAAGAUGAGUCCGCGUGAGAUUAGCUAGUUGGUGGGGUAAUGGCCUACCAAGGCGACGAUCUCUAACUGGUCUGAGAGGAUGAUCAGUCACACUGGAACUGAGACACGGUCCAGACUCCUACGGGAGGCAGCAGUAGGGAAUAUUGCACAAUGGAGGAAACUCUGAUGCAGCGACGCCGCGUGAGUGAUGAAGGCUUUCGGGUCGUAAAGCUCUGUCGCAGGGGAAUAACACAAUGAAGGUACCCUGUAAGAAAGGAUCGGCUAACUUCGUGCCAGCAGCCGCGGUAAGACGAGGGAUCCUAGCGUUGUUCGGAAUCAUUGGGCGUAAAGCGGGUGCAGGUGGCUAUGUAAGUCAGAUGUGAAAGCCCAGGGCUCAACCCUGGAAGUGCAUUUGAUACUGCGUAGCUUGAGUGCUGGAGAGGUUACUAGAAUUCUUGGUGUAGUGGUGAAAUACGUAGAUAUCAAGAGGAAUACCGGUGGCGAAGGCGGGUAACUGGCCAGACACUGACACUCAGACCCGAAAGCGUGGGGAUCAAACAGGAUUAGAUACCCUNNANUCCACGCCGUAANCGAUGGAUACUUGNUGUUAGAGGUAUUGACCCCUUUAGUGACGAAGCUAACGCGUUAAGUAUCCCGCCUGGGGAGUACGGUCGCAAGANUAAACCUC
rnacentral:rRNA from 1 species